CCUACGGGAGACAGCAGUGAGGAAUAUUGGUCAAUGGACGAGAGUCUGAACCAGCCAAGUAGCGUGAAGGAUUACUGCCCUAUGGGUUGUAAACUUCUUUUAUAUGGGAAUAAAAUGUUCCACGUGUGGGAUUUUGUAUGUACCAUAUGAAUAAGGAUCGGCUAACUCCGGUCCAGCAGCCGCGGUAAUACGGGGGAUACGAGCGUUAUCCGGAUUUAUUGGGUUUAAAGGGAGCGUAGGUGGAUUGUUAAGUCAGUUGUGAAAGUUUGCGGCUCAACCGUAAAAUUGCAGUUGAAACUGGCAGUCUUGAGUACAGUAGAGGUGGGCGGAAUUCGUGGUGUAGCGGUGAAAUGCUUAGAUAUCACGAAGAACUCCGAUUGCGAAGGCAGUUCACUGGACUGCAACUGACACUGAGGCACGAAAGUGUGGGUAUCAAACAGGAUUAGAUACCCUAGUAGUC
rnacentral:rRNA from 1 species